AGUGAACGCUGGCGGUAGGCCUAACACAUGCAAGUCGAACGGCAGCACAGUAAGAGCUUGCUCUUACGGGUGGCGAGUGGCGGACGGGUGAGGAAUACAUCGGAAUCUACUUUUUCGUGGGGGAUAACGUAGGGAAACUUACGCUAAUACCGCAUACGACCUACGGGUGAAAGCAGGGGAUCUUCGGACCUUGCGCGAUUGAAUGAGCCGAUGUCGGAUUAGCUAGUUGGCGGGGUAAGGGCCCACCAAGGCGACGAUCCGUAGCUGGUCUGAGAGGAUGAUCUGCCACACUGGAACUGAGACACGGUCCAGACUCCUACGGGAGGCAGCAGUGGGGAAUAUUGGACAAUGGGCGCAAGCCUGAUCCAGCCAUACCGCGUGGGUGAAGAAGGCCUUCGGGUUGUAAAGCCCUUUUGUUGGGAAAGAAAAGCAGCAGGUUAAUACCCCGCUGUUCUGACGGUACCCAAAGAAUAAGCACCGGCUAACUUCGUG
rnacentral:rRNA from 1 species